UACGAGGGGGGCGAGCGUUGUUCGGAAUUAUUGGGCGUAAAGGGCGCGUAGGCGGUGCGGUAAGUCACCUGUGAAAUCUCCUGGCUCAACUGGGAGCUUGCAGGCGAAACUGCCGUGCUGGAGUGUGGGAGAGGUGCGUGGAAUUCCUGGUGUAGCGGUGAAAUGCGUAGAUAUCAGGAGGAACACCUGUGGCGAAAGCGGCGCACUGGACCACAACUGACGCUGAGGCGCGAAAGCUAGGGGAGCAAACAGG
rnacentral:rRNA from 1 species